GACGAACGCUGGCGGCGUGCUUAACACAUGCAAGUCGAACGGAAAGGCCCUGCUUUUGUGGGGUGCUCGAGUGGCGAACGGGUGAGUAACACGUGAGUAACCUGCCCUUGACUUUGGGAUAACUUCAGGAAACUGGGGCUAAUACCGGAUAGGAGCUCCUGCUGCAUGGUGGGGGUUGGAAAGUUUCGGCGGUUGGGGAUGGACUCGCGGCUUAUCAGCUUGUUGGUGGGGUAGUGGCUUACCAAGGCUUUGACGGGUAGCCGGCCUGAGAGGGUGACCGGCCACAUUGGGACUGAGAUACGGCCCAGACUCCUACGGGAGGCAGAAGUGGAGAAUAUUGCACAAUGGGCGGAAGCCUGAUGCAGCAACGCCGCGUGCGGGAUGACGGCCUUCGGGUUGUAAACCGCUUUCGCCUGUGACGAAGAGUGAGUGACGGUAAUGGGUAAAGAAGCACCGGCUAACUACGUG
rnacentral:rRNA from 1 species